rnacentral:rRNA from 1 species
UGCCAGCCGCCGCGGUAAUACAGAGGGUGCAAACGUUGUUCGGAAUCACUGGGCAUAAAGCGCACGUAGGCUGCCAGGUAAGUGUGAAGUGAAAGCCCACGGCUCACCCGUGGAACUGCUUUGCAAACUGCUUGGCUAGAGGAUGGUAGGGGAGAGCAGAACUCGCGAAGGAGCGGUGAAAUGCGUAGAUAUCGCGGGGAAUACCCGUGGCGAAGGCGGCUCUCUGGUCCAUUUCUGACGCUGAGGUGCGAAAGUGUGGGGAGCAAACAGGAUUAGAUA